rnacentral:RNase_P_RNA from 1 species
UGAGCUGGCCGGGCGGCCGCGUCACCUCAAUUGAGGUGCCGAGGAAGGUCCGGGCUCCGAAGGGCAGGGUGGUGGCCAACAGCCACCCGGGGUGACCCGCGGGACAGUGCCACAGAGAACAGACCGCCCCGACCUCUCCGGAGGGCGGGGUAAGGGUGAAACGGUGGUGUAAGAGACCACCAGCGUGCCGGGUGACCGGUGCGGCUAGGUAAACCCCACCCGGAGCAAGAUCAAGAAGCCGACUCCCUCCGGGGAGACGGUGCGCACGUGCUUGAGGACGGCCCGUCCGAGCGUGCGGGUAGAUCGCUUGAGACUGCUGGCAACAGCAGGUCCAGAUGGAUGGUCGCCAACCGGCUGGUCGCAAGGCCACCGGCGAACAGAACCCGGCCUAUGAGCCAGCUCAUCCG